AAAAAAGAGUUUGGAGGGUUAUGUAUUACUAAUAUUGCUGAUAUGAAUCUUAUCCUUCUUGCUUCAUGUCUGCAUAACUACUCUCCUUUUUGGAAAGGAGUCAUGUGGGCUGCCAAAGCUGCCAAGAUAGAUUAUUCCUGUAGGGUAGCAAAUGGAGAGAAGGUCAAAUUCUGGGAGGAUUAUUGGUUUGGUAACUCUAGCUUUGCCAUCCAAUUUUGUGAGCUAUGAUGUAUUGCUAAUGAACAUAUCACUAUUGCUGAUGUUUGGGAUGGUGUGAAUCUUAUGGUCACCUUCCGGAGAUGUGUAGACUCUAGGUUGUUUCUCCCGUGGUAUGAUCUCCUUAGUAUAGCUCAGUCCAUUCGUUUCUCUGAAGAGGAAGAUUCUAUGGUGUGGAAAUUUGAAUCUAGUGAUGCUUACUCUAUUAGAUCCAUGUAUGCACUUGUUAACUUUAAAGGGAUUCUGCCUAUCUAUAUCCCUGAUAUGUGGCAUGUGCAUGUUUCCCCUAAAAUCCAUAUUUUGAUGUGGCUCUUAUCUCACAACAAGUUGCUCACUAGAGAUAAUUUGAUUAAGAGGCAACAUAUUGAGGAUAAAACUUGUCUGUUUUUUUGUGAGAUGGAAUCCAUUAAUCAUACCUUCUUUGAAUGUGUGGUGGCCCAGGAAAUUUGGAAAAAAAUUAUAGUCUAA
rnacentral:rRNA from 1 species